rnacentral:lncRNA from 1 species
AAACUAAUUAUGGAAAAACUGCUGUUGUCUAAUUGAAGCUCGAUAUCUAUUUGCGAUUUUACCGCACUCAAAUAUAUAUGGUCCCAUGGCUUUUCUUGGUGAAUUUUGGGGUUUUUCACGAUACCUGACGAUUUCGCAGAAAAAUUUCCCUAAUUUUGAGCAACAUAAAAAAAAUAUUUCCGGCCCUUCAUACUAUACAUUUAAGGACAAAUUUGUGCUUGCAUGAAACUUCAUUCAUAAUGCUUUCCAGAAGAAAAAUAUAUAAAAGAUAUAACAACCAAUCACAGAGAGCCAUCUAUUUUUAUCUCUAUGUCAUGUUCCCUUCAUAAAAUGGCUGCGCCCAUGUAAUUUUAUUUGGUACAUUGUUACCUUAAGGUGGUACCUAACACUACAGGGAGAUAACUCUGUAAAGUCAGCUAAACGUUUUAAUUACGUUGUGUUGUAAAAGGAAUAUUAAGCUUCUCAAUGAUCAAAAUUGGAGGUUGUCAAAUUGCUAUAUAACCAGUAUAAUUUUUCUGACAAAACGGUUGGUUCAAAAUUUUUAAGUUUUUUAUAUUUUUGUUAAAGUGUCAAAGUAAAUACUUUGACAAAAUUUUAUGAAAAUUAAACGAGCCAAAUUAAUUUUAGUGAAAGUGUUGGGUACCACCUUAAACGGAAUUGUCCUGACGCUGUGCUGGUGAUAAGAAAAACGGUCCUGGUUCUGUGCUCCUAUGUCCUGGUUCUGUGCCUUUAUAUUUU